rnacentral:misc_RNA from 1 species
AACCUUAUGGACCUGCGGGCGUAUACUGCGGAGGGAUCAUUAACCUUUCAAAAAACAGGGUGCGUCGCGGCCCCCCUCCGGGGGCGGUUUGGGGUCCUCCCCUUCACGCGCGCACGACUGCAUCCUUACUUUACGAGCACCUUCUGUUCUCCCUCGGCGGGGCAACCUGCCGUUGGAACCGAAUAAACCCUUUUUUGCAUCCAGCAUUACCCGUUCCGAAACAAACAAUCGUUACAACUU